UACGUAGGCAGCGAGCGUUGUUCGGAGUUACUGGGCGUAAAGAGUGCGUAGGCGGUUUUCUAAGUUCGGUGUGAAAUCUCCUGGCUCAACUGGGAGGGUGCGCCGGAAACUGGAGUGCUUGAGCGUGGGAGAGGAAAGCGGAAUUCCUGGUGUAGCGGUGAAAUGCGUAGAUAUCAGGAGGAACACCUGUGGUGUAGACGGCUUUCUGGACCAUAGCUGACGCUGAGACACGAAAGCGUGGGUAGCAAACAGG
rnacentral:rRNA from 1 species